AUGAACACUUUUAUUGUAGAAAAAAAUUUUUAUAGGGAAGCUAACGAGAAAAUGAAAAAGUAAAAAUAUAAUGGCUAAGGGACGAUAAUAAAAAUAAUAAAAAAGUCGAAAAAUCAAAGUAGAAAUACGAAGGUGAAAUUACCUAAAGACAAAAAGAAUGGAAGCGAGUAAGAGAGAAAGAGAAAAAGAGAGAGAGAGAGAGAGAAAUGGGAAUAGACACUUCCAUUAUAGAAAAAUUUAAUAUGAAUAUUAACGAAGAAAUGAAAAAGUAAAAAUAUAAUAAAUGUAUGCCGAUAAUAAAGAUAGUAAAAAGAUCAAGGUAGGCGAAAAAUCAAGGUAGACGUUGUUCAAAGACUUACAAAAUAACCCACAAAGAGAGAAAGAAAAAAGCAAGAGAGAGAGAGAGAGAGAGAGAGAGAGAGAGAUGAGUAGACACUUUUAUUGUACAAAAAUCUAACAGAGAAAUUAACGAGAAAGUGAAAAAAAUAAAAAUGACAAAAAUAUAACAACUAAGUGAUGAACAAAAAAAUAAUAAAAAAAUGUCAAAAUGAAGAUACACAGACGAAAUAACCUCGAAAGAGUAAUAAAUAGAUAGAAAGAGAGAGAAAAGAAUAGGUACUUUUAUUAUACAAAAAUGUAAUAAGGAUAUUAAAGAAACAAUAAAGAAAAGUAAGAAUAUAAUAAAUAACUAAAUGACGAUAAUAAAACUAAUAAAAAAAUUUUAAAUAUCAAGAUAGACUUACAACGACGAAAUUAACUGAUGAUAGAAAGAGGGGGAGAGAGAGAGAGAGAGAGAGAGAGAGAAUUAGAUACUUUUAUUAUUCAAAAAUAUAAUAGGGAUAUUAACGAGAUAAUGAAAAGAAAAGUAAGGAUACGAUAACUUCGAUAAAUAAAUUGCAAAAUAAGAAUAGUUAAUGCGUAGAAAGUUGAAAUUAUUAUAACUAGAAAUAGAAAAAGAGAGCAAGCGAAGGGGGGGGCGAAAAGAAGGAGAGAGAGAGAGAGAAGGUUGAUAUAGUUGGAAUGUAGGUCGCGGCCUCGGGGAAAAUACGGGGGCGACGAAAGUCGGACGACAGAGAGGGAUGCUAUGAUGGGUGGUGGUUUGGCCGACAGAGCGACGCCAGGCGUCGUUCAAACAGACUGUACGUCGUCGUCGUCGUCGUCGUCGUCGUCGUCGUCGUCGUCGUCCUUAUCCUCAUUCUCAUUAUCCUCAUUCUCAUCGUCCUAAUCUUCGUCAUUUCCGUCGUCGUUUUCGUCUUCCUGGUAACGUAAAUGCCAACUGAUAUGUUUAAUUUCGAAACAUAGUUAUUUAAAAAACCUAUGUAAUAUUUUGAUUGCAUUUGGGUUGCGUUAAAUUCCGCGGGACGUCUCCGUCGUCGUCGACGAUUGGCGGUCGUCGGUUCGGACGCGUUGCCUUUCGUAGCGUCGCAGGCGCAGAAUAGAAGACUUGCGCGUACGCGCCGAAUCAAUAAGAACAGAAACCAGUACAGGUGGGUCGUCGUCGGCGUCGUCGCCGUCGUCGUCGUCGUCGUCGUCGUCGUCGUCGCCAUCGCCGUCAUCGCCGUCAUCGCCGUCAUCGUCGUUGCCGUUGCCUGUUGUCGUCGUCAUCGUCAUCGUCGUCUUCGUUGUUGUCUUUGUUCGUCGUCAUCGUCGUCGUCGUCGUCGUCGUCGUCGUCGUUUUAAUCUUUAUCGUCGUCUUCGUUGUUUUUGUUUGUCAUCGUCGUCCUCGUUGUCCUCGUCGUUUUUAUCCUCGUUGUUGGCGUCGUCGAGGACGGUGCGCGUUUCUGGUCCCGCUACUACCGCCGAGGCGCGCGUAUCGAGAAACGCCAAGACGAAGGAGAGGGGAAGAAAUAGAGAGAGAGAGAGAGAGAGAGAGAAAGAGAGAGGGGAAGAAAUAGGGAGAGAGAGAGAGAGAAAGAGAGAGAAGAGUAGUAGCAAGCAAGCACAGUGAGAAACGACCGGAAGGACGCGUCUUUUCGCGCGCGCUUCGACCAAUUUAAAGAGAGAGAGAGAGAGAGGGAAAGGGAAAGAGAGAGAGAGAGAGAGAGAGAGAGAGACAGAGUGAGAGAGAAUAGUGUGAGAAGGGGAAAAAAAAGUUGGAAUGAGAAAAGAAAAUCGAAUUUCUUCAAUUUUUCACGAAGUUUUUUCUUUCUUCAUUGUUCGGCCUUCUUCAUAUCGCGUGUUCUAAAUCCUGUGUACGGUCGUGUCUCUUACGCUCUGUGUAUCACUUCAAAGAGAGAGAGAGAGAGAGAGAGAAAGAGAGGAUCAUCGAAAAUAUUCGACUAAGAGCGAAUGAGCGCGUGAGCGAGCGAUAUACACACACUUAUACAGAAGAGAGAGAGAGAGAGAGAGAGAGAGGAGUGAGAGAGAGAGAGAGAGAGAGAGAGACAAUGUGAGAGAGUGUGAGAGAGUGAGAGGUAAUGUCUCGCCCGGCGAAGCAUCCGCAACGAUCCAGACCGAUGGACGCACCCCGAGACUCGCGUGGCCAGUGUCGAUAGUGCGCUCUUUUACACGUACAUACACCACUUGUACCAGUUAUUUACUAUUCUCCCGCGAUUUUACAUACGUAGUUACGUACGUACAUACGUUCGUUCGUUCAUUCGUUUUUCUCGUCUUUGUCGUCGUCGUCGUCGUCGUCGUCGUCGUCGUCGUCAGCAGAGCUACAUCGAUUUCUCUUUCUCUCAUGAGCUCUCUUUUUUUCCUGUUUCGCUCAAGGUGAGAAGAAGCUACGACGAUAUUCAUGACGCACGUACGUAAUCACGAAUAAAAUAUGAAGAGAAGAUAAUUAACCAACGUGGAUAAAAAUCUAAUUAUAUGGCAUAAUUACGCCAUAUCUGGAUUAUAUAUACAUACAUUUUGAAGAGGACAAGUGUGAAAGAAAGAUAAAACAUUAUUAUUAUACGUGUUUAUUCAUUUUAUACGUUUGCGCGAGAUUAAAAGGAAGAACAACAUAAUAUAAUCGUUAUAAUAAUUCGGAAAGGGGAUCGGGGAAUGAUAAGGGGUUUAAUAUAAGUGUUUUACGUUAAGUAAAAACGACAACACAACACGUACAUGGACUCGUCGCCGAGCGUCCUCGGUCUUGUCCUCGUCGUCGUCGGCCCUUUGUGUUCCUUCGAACCAUCGUCCGUCCAAUUAUUAUUACCAUAGUGGAUCGUUGAACUCGCGGAAAUUGGUGUUUUUUAAUAGUAUAGUGCAAAUUAUCAUCGUUUAUUAUUUCUCGAAAAUAUCAACUCGUCUUAUACGUCGAAAAUUAUAAUAUCGGAUAUUGGAGUCCGAACGAAAUACAUAUAUAAUACGUCAAAAAAGAAGAGUGCUCAUUCACGAAAUGGAUGCUUUGCGAGCUAGAGUGAUAUGGACAUUUUGGAGUAACGAUAAAGUUACGUCGUUCUAUUGAACGCUAAAGAAGGAAUUAAAUUUUGUGUUUGCAAGAAAGAAAGAAAGAAAGAAAGAAAGAAAGGAAGAAAGAAAGAAAAAGCAAGGAAGGAAAACGAAAGAAAGAAAGAAAGAAAAACCGAAGAAAAGUGACAAAGAGAGAGAGAGAGAGAGAAGGAGAGAAGGAGAGAGAGAGAGAGGGAGAGAGAGGGAGAGAGAGAGAGAAAGAAAGAAUGCGAUUGUAGUUUCGAUGAAAGAAAAGGGAGAAAAGAAAAUAGAACGUUUCUUCUCGUUCAAUCUCGUCCAAUAAGAUUUGUAAUUGACCGAAAGUACGCGUGUCCUCUCGUCUCGAUUCUCCCUGCCUCCCUCCUUAUCUGCCCACCACCCCACUUCCUUGUCGUUCUCUUUCACUCUCUCUCUCUCUUUCUCUCUCUCUCUCUCUCUCAUUCACUUGCUCUCUCUCUCUCUCUCUCUCUCUCUCGAUCACAAACAUACACUGUCUCUCUCGCUCUCUUUUUAUCUCUCUUUCAAAUAUACUCACUCGUAUGUUUAUUCACUAACUCGUUCGUUCUACACCAUUUACAUAGAAAAAAAAAAGAAAGAGAGAGAGAGAGAGAGAGAGAGAGUGAGAGAGAGAGAGAGAAAGAGAGAGAGAGAGAGGUUUGUUCGUUAUCUUUUAAGAUAUGAGGGUACAAGAAAAUGAUAUACGAUCGGGAAACAAAUUGUGCAUCGAUCGAAGAUUAUUAUUUUAGUAUUAGAUCGUGCCAAACAUAUAUACAUAUAUAUAUAUAUAUAUAAAUUGUAUGCAUUUACAUUCGAAAGAUUCAAUGGUAACGAGUUUAUGGAUUUUUUCAUCUUUCCUUCUUUUUUUUUUAUAAUUUAAAUAAUUGAAAGGAAAAAAGAAAAAAAGAAAAAAAAAGAAAAAGUGGAAAGAACGAAGAACAAAAUUAAUUGUCGAAUAGAAGAAUAUCCGAGAUUGAUCCGUUCAUAUUUAUUUCGAAUUUGUCAAUAAUAAUCUAUUGUCUUACGUUGUCGAUCCCGUUGACAAAUAUCCUCCCUCAAUUUUUCCUCCCACUCUUUCUUCUCUUCAGUCUGACUCUACGUCUCUCUCGCGUUUUUUUUUUUCUUUUUUUUUCAUACCUUACACUGUUUUCGUUGUCUCUUAUCGUCUCGUACAUUGUCUCGUGUCUUGCAAAUUUAAUCAUACAACCACC